AGUGGCGGACGGGUGAGUAACACGUAGGUAACCUACCCUUAGGCGGGGGACAACUCAGGGAAACUUGAGCUAAUACCGCAUAAAUCCACGGGCUGGGAUGCUUGUGGGGAAAGUGGCAACACACCUAAGGAUGGGCCUGCGGCCUAUCAGGUAGUUGGUGGGGUAAGAGCCCACCAAGCCGAAGACGGGUAGCCGGGCUGAGAGGUUGAACGGCCACACUGGAACUGAGACACGGUCCAGACUCCUACGGGAGGCAGCAGUGGGGAAUCUUGCGCAAUGGGGGAAACCCUGACGCAGCGACGCCGCGUGGAGGAUGAAGGUCUUCGGGUUGUAAACUCCUUUUCUUGGGGAAAAUGAUGAUGGUACUCAAGGAAUAAGCCACGGCUAACUCUGUGCCAGCAGCCGCGGUAAGACAGAGGUGGCGAGCGUUGUUCGGAAUUACUGGGCUUAAAGGGCGAGUAGGCGGUAGAGCAAGUCUGAGGUGGAAUCCUAUGGCUUAACCAUAGAACUGCCUUAGAAACUGCUUUACUUGAGUCAGUGAGGGGAGGGCGGAAUUCCUGGUGUAGCGGUGAAAUGCGUAGAUAUCAGGAGGAAGGCCUGUGGCGAAAGCGGCCCUCUGGCACUGUACUGACGCUGAGGCGCGAAAGCGUGGGGAGCAAACAGGAUUAGAUACCCUGGUAGUCCACGCCCUAAACGGUGGGCAUUAGG
rnacentral:rRNA from 1 species